rnacentral:rRNA from 1 species
CAGCGUCACGAGUGGCAACCGUAUUUAUUGGGCCUAAAGCGUCCGUAGCCGGUUUGAUAAGUCUUUUGUGAAAUCGUUGAGCUUAACUUAACGGUGUGCAAGAGAUACUGUCAGACUUGGAAUUGGGAAGAGUUAGAGGUAUUCUGGGGGGAGCGGUAAAAUGCUAUAAUCCCUGGAGGACCACCAGUGGCGAAAGCGUCUAACUAGAACAAAUUCGACGGUGAGGGACGAAAGCCAGGGGAGCAAAACGGAUUAGAUACCCGUGUAGUCC